GCUGGCUCUCUGCCGAAUUUAGGGCAGCAUUUGCUUCUGGAUUUGGUAGAGUAUCAUGGUGUUCGUGUGAAAAUACCUGCUUCUAAAGGGGUUGAUCCUCAGGAUUCCUGGGGAGAGAUCCGGUUGCUAGGAUAUGUAUUGAAUGAAGAAUAUCGCCCUCUUUGAUAGCGCAUUUCGAUUCGUCGCAACGACUGGCAAUGUUUGUGGACUUCUGUGCCCGCCAUGGCACCUCCACCGACCUGUUUGUAUCAUUAGAACUGCUGUCAAGACAGCAUCGAUCUGGAGGAUGAAGUGAGAAGAGGACUUGGUAGGGAAGGAGGUCUGUUGGCUAUGGAAGUAUCUGGUGAAGUCAUUUAUUACAAGCUCCCAUUGAAGCCACCAGAGCAGAUACAAUCCAUGGGCGAUGUUUUGCAAUGUGAUGGUUAUUCAUACUCUCCUAAAUAUACCGAACCAUCGAAACUACCAGUCAUAGUGUAUCCAGGACAAUCUUUAGUUAUUGCAGAUGUUUUCAGCGGA
rnacentral:sRNA from 2 species